UAGAAGUUACUUCGGUACAUCGGUGACAGGUGGUGCAUGGUUGUCGUCAGCUCGUGUCGUGAGAUGUUGGGUUAAGUCCCGCAACGAGCGCAACCCCUAUUGUUAGUUGCCAUCAUUCAGUUGGGCACUCUAGCGAGACUGCCGGUAAUAAACCGGAGGAAGGUGGGGAUGACGUCAAAUCAUCAUGCCCCUUAUGACCUGGGCUACACACGUGCUACAAUGGUUGGUACAACGAGUUGCGAGUCGGUGACGGCGAGCUAAUCUCUUAAAGCCAAUCUCAGUUCGGAUUGUAGGCUGCAACUCGCCUACAUGAAGUCGGAAUCGCUAGUAAUCGCGGAUCAGCACGCCCGCGGUCGAAUACGUUCCCGGGCCUU
rnacentral:rRNA from 1 species